rnacentral:lncRNA from 1 species
UAAGGAAAAAUUCAGUUCAGGGUUUAAAACCCUAAUGCUGAUUGCAUGGAAAAGCUCAGUUUAGGGUUUAAAACCCUAAUGCUGGCUGAAUGGAAAAAAGUUCAGUUUAGGGUUUAAAACCCUAAUGCUGACUAAAGGAAAAAUUCAGUUUAGGGUUUUAAAACCCUAAUGCUGAUUGCAUGGAAAAGCUCAGUUUAGGGUUUAAAACCCUAAUAUUGGCUGAAUGGAAAAAAAGUUCAGUUUAGGGUUUAAAACCCUAAUGCUGACUAAAGGAAAAUUCAGUUUAGGGUUUAAAACCCUAAUGCUGAUUGCAUGGAAAAACUCAGUUUAGGGUUUAAAACCCUAAUGCUGGCUGAAUGGAAAAAAGUUCAGUUUAGGGUUUAAAACCCUAAUGCUGACUAAAGGAAAAAUUCAGUUUAGGGUUUAAAACCCUAAUGCUGAUUGCAUGGAAAAGCUCAGUUUAGGGUUUAAAACCCCAAUGCUGGCUGAAUGGAAACAAGUUCAGUUUAGGGUUUAAAACCCUAAUGUUGACUAAAAGAAAAAUUCAGUUUAGGGUUUAAAACCCUAAUG